GAAAUUUUACAAGUGAACACACACUACACUUUCUCUUCUCCACCUUAAUCUCCUCCUUCUCUGCCGCCUCUCUCUCCCUCUUUCUUCUCCGGCAGUUUCGUCCGUUCUCGCCAGUUCUCGCCGCCUCCGGCACGGUGAUGGGCGUGGUGGUUAUUUUCCUCUAUCCUUCUCUACUUCUUCCCCUAAAUCUCAAGACACCUAAAUCGUUAGGGUUUUAAUUUUUAUCCUCUUUCGAUUUUAUUCCGUUCGGCGCUCCUUCGACCCGCCUGAGUUGUCGCGCCUUCAUCACGCCUCUACGGUACGAGCUUCGAUCUCUUCCUCUGUUCUGUCUCUCUGACUCUCCCCCUUUCUCUGACUCGCUCACAGCAGCUGUCGCGGCUUAAGCAGCGCCGACGAUCGUUGCCGUAGCCCGCGCCUCCGCCGUGGUGCGUGCAGAUUUGCACCAGGAAGCCAACAACAACAGUUGCCUCUCAUAAAGGUUUUUAUCCGGCCGGUCUAUUGAAGCAGAUCUGCAAAAUUUUUGAUUCUUUGUUUCGUUAAGGAUUGUGGAAUAUUCGUGGUCGCUUUCUCUGCCAUUGGUUGCUUAAAAAUUUCAAAUUCUUAUUUUUUGUCUGUUUUAUAUUGAUUUGGUUGUUUGUUGUAGGAGAUUCAUAUGUUGGUUUUGUUUAGUGUUUUAGCUGCUAUCAAGGUAGUCUGCCCCCCAUUUUUACUCGCGUUCAUUCUUUCACUUGAGAGAUUUUGGUGCUCAAUUUCCAAUUCUAGGGUUUUUUUGCUAAUUCAUUGUAAAUGGGGGUUUGAAAGUUCCGAAGGCUAAAUGUUUGAUUGCUGCCAUCAGAGACGAGAAUUGCUGCCAUCUUUAAAUUAGCUAGAGGUUUGAUUUUGCCAUUUUCAAUGUAGGAACGAGAAUUGAUCUAUGUUUAUCGCUUUGCUGAAGCUAAAGGAAAGUGAAAUUUAAAGCUGAAGAUUGAAAAUUCCAGAAAUAUUGUAGAAACGUCUGCCACCGCUCUAUUCGUGCCAUCAGCGUCUCCAGCCUUUGAAUCAGUUCAUCAGCUUUCAUUCUUCAGGUAACAACUCAACUGAAAUUCAAAAAUGUAUUUAUAUAUGGCUCUAAUUUUAGGGGCAGACUAUCAUGAUCAAUUGAUUGCAUGAAUUGAAUAUGGCAUAUUCUUUUGUUUAUCUUUUUUCGAUUCUUGCUGAUUGAUUGGAUUGAAAAUUUUGAUCUUUCAUUGAAACCUUCAGUUGAUGAGAUAUAUGGGGUUCUAUCCUUUGUAUUCUGGACACUAACAUUGAUACCACUUGUUAAGUAUGUCUUCAUAGUGCUUAGAGCUAAUGACAAUAGUGUUGGUUUGAGAUUGAGUUUGACAUGGCUAUCAUUUUAUGGUUCUCCUUGUGAAGUUUGUGAUUUCUUGUUUCCAACAAGCUAUCAAAAUAUGUUUUUAUUGACCACUUCCUAUAAGAAAUGAGUGAAAAUGAAAAGUUCUAAGUUCCAACAACCCAUGGCUUUGUUCUUCAAUAAAAUCUAGGGUAUACAGAUCUCACACCCUCUCUAUAUCUUCUCUAUAUUUUUGGUGCAGUUAUUUGUACUUAGAUUUCAUGUAUUUAAUUAUAUGGCAAGAAAGAAGCCGAUAGCUUUUUGUUGGUUUGGAAUACUAUUAGCAGGCCAACAAAAUCUUGCAACAUUUGCUUUUACUGCAGGUACCAAAAUCUCCCUUGAGCUUCGAUUCUCAACUGCAAAUGUCUCUGCACCUCCAUCUGCUGCUGGAUAGUGUUUCCCUAUUUCUGACCUUCCGAUUUGUCGUGGUUAAAGGCAUGUGAUUGCUGACUUUCUUGGUUUUCAGUUUUGAACACUUAAGUUAAUGGUGUUAACUUUACUACUUAUUUCAACUUCUCUAUUUUUCUAAAGUUAUGAAGGGAUAGGAAUUGCCUUGAAAACUGCAGCAGCAACUUGAGGAACAAGAUCAGAUUUCAAGGAAAAAUGUGGAUACCGUUGUUUCAGGUUUGUGGUGGUGGAUUAAAUGACCCGUGCGUUGAGCUGAAGAGGCUUGUGAAUUCCCAAGAAAAGUUAUACCAGAUGGCUAGCUAGUUGCAUAUUUAAUAUAUUUAGUAUUUUUGUAAGGCAUAAUAGUAUUAGAUAGAGCAUUUGUUGAAUUUUGACUAUAUUCAAAUGAUGUAUGAAUUCUUUUUUAUGAUAAUAAUAUAUGGAUUUUGAUUA